rnacentral:rRNA from 1 species
AUGGUGGGUUCGCCGACGAAGCGGCGGGCGAUGAGGAGGCCGCUGGAGAAGGCCGGGGUGGUGGGGCUCGCCGUCGUGGCCACGGCGACCGCCGCGCUGCUGCUGCUGCUGCUCGUCUGCACCGCGUCGCUCCGCUACAACGCCGCCGUCAACUACGCGCUCGCGGCGCCCAGGAAGCUCUGGAGCGGCGGGGUCUCCAUCGCGGCCGACGCGUCACCGUCGCCGUCGCCGGAGAGGGGUGCGGCGGCGAUGGCGGCAGAGGCGGAGGAGUGCGACCUGUUCGACGGGAGCUGGGUGUGGGACGACAGCUACCCGCUCUACGACUCCAAGGACUGCCCCUUCUUGGACGGCGGGUUCCGGUGCUCCGAGAACGGCCGGCCGGACACGUCCUAUGUCAAAUGGCGGUGGCAGCCGUCGCGCUGCGAUCUUCCCAGAUUUGAUGCCAAAUUCAUGCUCGAGAAGCUACGGAAUAGAAGAGUAGUAUUCGUUGGUGAUUCAAUUGGAAGAAACCAAUGGGAGUCUCUGCUUUGUAUGCUCUCUAGUGUUGUUCCCAACAAGAAGUCCAUCUAUGAAAUUAAUGGAAGUCCCAUCACAAAGCACACGGGUUUCUUGAUUUUCAAGUUUAGCGACUACAAUUGCACUGUGGAGUAUUACAGAUCUCCUUUUAUAGUCCUUCAUGGCCGUGCACCAGAUGGAGCCUCUAAGGUUGUUAAGUACACAAUUAAGGUGGAUGCCAUGGAUUGGAUGUCAGACCGUGGUAAGUGGAGCAAUGCUGAUAUUUUGAUCUUUAACACAGGGCAUUGGUGGAACUACGAGAAAACAAUUAGAGGGGGUGCCUAUUUUCAAGAAGGCGGUAAGGUGAAGAUGAAGAUGACUGUUAUUGAUGCGUACCAAAAAUCAAUACAAACACUAUUCAAUUGGGUUCACAAAAAAGUUAACACAAGCAAGACCCAGGUCAUCUUCCGUACUUAUGCUCCUGUGCACUUCAGAGGUGGCGACUGGAAUAGUGGAGGGAGUUGCCACUUGGAAACUCUUCCUGAUGCGACACCGUUUAAAUCGCUGGAGCAAUGGGCUGACAAGCUUGAGCCUGUCCAUAAUGUUCUUGGGAGCAGCACAAGACCCAAGCUGCCUGGGUUAGCUAUACUGAACGUGACACAAAUGACAGCGCAGCGAAAAGAUGGUCACCUGUCAGUUUACAUCAGCCCUUCGGGGCCUGUCCCCCUGCGCAGACAGGAUUGCAGCCAUUGGUGCUUGCCUGGAGUUCCUGAUACCUGGAACGAGCUUGUGUACGCCAUCUUCAUGAAAAGGCAAACAAUGAUGGACCAAAAUGUUUCUCUUGGUGCUUCAAGAACGUUGAACACAAGCUGA